CCAUUGCUAGCUACUGCUCAAUACAAGAAAAUGCUAUUAAUUUCUGUGAGAUAAAAGAUGACAAAAAAAGGUUAUGGCUUUAACUAAGGAUAGGGUUACUUUUGUUGGGAAAAAUGAGUUAAUGGAAGGGUUUUAAAAUCGAGACGGGGUAAUAACAAUGGGUUUUGUUUGUCGAUUUUCUAGCCACUGAUCUAUAGGAAGAAAAUGCUAGUAAUGCUUGUGAGAUACUAACAGAUGAGAAAAAAAGGUUAUGGCUUUAACUAAGGAUAGGGUUAAUUUUGUUGGGAAAAAUGAGUUAAUGGAAGGGUUUUAAAAUCAAAUAACAAUGACUUUUGUUUGUCGAUUUUGUGUUUUCCUAGGUUUAUGCUGCUACGAUAUGCUAACCGCGUAAUGUUCACGCUUUGGACCAGUCGGAGCUGUUCUAU
rnacentral:lncRNA from 1 species